GGGGGCGUAGCUCAGUGGUAGAGCAUCGGCCUUUUAAGCCGCUGGUCGAAGGUUCGAGUCCUUCCGCCCUCACCA
rnacentral:tRNA from 1 species